rnacentral:rRNA from 1 species
GAUGGACGCUGGCGGCGUGCCUAAUACAUGCAAGUCGAUCGAACAGACGAGGAGCUUGCUCCUCUGACGUUAGCGGCGGACGGGUGAGUAACACGUGGAUAACCUACCUAUAAGACUGGGAUAACUUCGGGAAACCGGAGCUAAUACCGGAUAAUAUAUUGAACCGCAUGGUUCAAUAGUGAAAGACGGUUUUGCUGUCACUUAUAGAUGGAUCCGCGCCGCAUUAGCUAGUUGGUAAGGUAACGGCUUACCAAGGCAACGAUGCGUAGCCGACCUGCGAGGGUGAUCGGCCACACUGGAACUGAGACACGGUCCAGACUCCUACGGGAGGCAGCAGUAGGGAAUCUUCCGCAAUGGGCGAAAGCCUGACGGAGCAACGCCGCGUGAGUGAUGAAGGUCUUCGGAUCGUAAAACUCUGUUAUUAGGGAAGAACAAAUGUGUAAGUAACUAUGCACGUCUUGACGGUACCUAAUCAGAAAGCCACGGCUAACUACGUG